rnacentral:lncRNA from 1 species
ACUAUAAAUAAGACAAGUAUUGUACAAAGACCGGAAUUCUGCCCCCAUGAGGUAGAAAAGAGAAAAGGCUACCACAGGUCACCCCACAGGGAAGCUGUAGCAAACAUAUAUCUUAAACAUACAAGAAUUCCACACGUAGAUCACUGUUACAUCCCUCAGAGAUUUUGUGAUGGCUAUUUCUUCUCAGGGGUGUCAAGAAAAACAAAUGACCAAGAAGAGGAUUUCCUCCCGUUUGAGCCAGCCUGGCCUACAGAGGGAGACACUGGGGUGGGGGCGGGGCAGACUAAGAAACCCUGUCUCACGAGUGUGGUGUCUAAUCUUCAUUGUCAACCGGAUUAGGUUUAGACUCACCAUGAAAAACCACCUUUCGGGUGUCUGUGAGGAUAUUUCUAGGAAGGUCUUACUACGGUGCAGAGACCCGCUGUGAACGUGGGUGGCAACAUUCCAUGGGCUGCGGCUGCUUCUGAGGGGAAAUGCAAAGCCAUUACCUCUCAGCUCCCUGAUUUCAGAGCCACUGUGACUGCCUGCCCCAUGCUUCUGCCACAAGUCUUUCCCACCAGGAUGGACAGUAUACUUCACACUGUGGCCCGAGUGAACUCUUCCUCUCUUCAGCUGCUCCUCGGCUAGUGACAGCAAUGAGAAAAAUAGCUAACCUAUAAAUUCAUCUCCAAUGUG